AUUGAACGCUGGCGGCAGGCCUAACACAUGCAAGUCGAGCGAGAGGCGGACGGGUGAGUAAUGUAUGGGGACUGCUCGAUAGAGGGGGAUAACUACUGGAAACGGUGGCUAAUACCGCAUACGAUCGGAUAACCCAUAUGGGAUUAGCUAGUAGGUGGGGUAAAGGCUCACCUAGGCGACGAUCUCUAGCUGGUCUGAGAGGAUGAUCAGCCACACUGGGACUGAGACACGGCCCAGACUCCUACGGAGGCAGCAGUGAGGAAUAUUGGGCAAUGGGCGCAAGCCUGACCCAGCAACGCCGCGGUAAUUC
rnacentral:rRNA from 1 species